rnacentral:rRNA from 1 species
GACGAACCGUGCGAACGUUGUUCGGAAUCACUGGGCUUAAAGGGCGCGUAGGCGGGCUAUCAAGUCUGGGGUGAAAUGCCGCGGCUCAACCGUGGAACUGCCUCAGAUACUGACGGCCUCGAGGAAGGUAGGGGCAUGCGGAACUGUAGGUGGAGCGGUGAAAUGCGUUGAUAUCUACAGGAACUCCGGUGGCGAAAGCGGCGUGCUGGACCUUUUCUGACGCUGAGGCGCGAAAGCUAGGGGAGCAAACGGG